UACAACUGUGGAAGAAAAUGGAAAACAGAGAUAAGAAGCUGUUCUUGAAACCUCUGGGAACAGAUUAUGAAGCUUGUCUAUUGCCAGAGACAGUGACCUGAACUGUCCUCCCAACAUUUUAAAAAUCAUGGGAACAAGGCUAACAAUUAAAUCUGGGAUUUCCAAAGGAGCCUACAUGAGACAGGGGGAUACAAAUACCAAAGGCCAAUCCUUUACCCACUGAAGUCAAUGCCAAAAAUCCUAUUGACUUCAGUGGGCAAAGAAUUAUGCCCAAAUACGAUCUUAUUCUUGAUUCAUGUAAUGUGGUGAGGUUUUUGUUGGUUUGUUUAAUUGUGCAUUUAAUUUUUAUUAAAACAACAACACCUAACUCUUAUAUAGCACUUUUCAUCAAUAGAUCUUCAAGCACUAUACAAAGGAGUAUCAUCUCCAUUUUAUGGAUUGGGAAAUGGAGGCACAGCUGGAGAAGUAACUUGCCCAAGGUCACCCACAGGUUUAUUCCAUUAUAGGCAUAAUGAUCCAAAUUCAUCGCUGGCAUAACCCAAUACACUUCAGAGAAGUUCCACCAGGGACAGGGCUUGAUCCUACCCAGGGCACAUGGGAUAACGCUACCACAUGGAUGGGAUCCGAAAUGUCACUGAACACAGCACAGCAAUCCUGCUGGUGCAGCUCGCCAGGUGUGCCAGGUGCAGAGAGCUACAUACACAUGGCCACCAUGCAGUAGAGGCAGUCCAGAAACACCCACACCCUGCAGGAGAGAGUGCUCCAUGCUGUUACGGAUGUGCGAUACAGGAGGCUGCAGGAACUGGAAUUCUGGUUUCCAAACUAGAUUUUCAAAAUGUUAUCUUAGUGUGAUAAUUGUAAAAAGUGUAUUCUGAAAACUAAAAUUCAUUAACUCUUUAAUGCAGACAUUUAUGAAUGACCACAUAAGCAGGUUCUUAACUUAACACAUGUGCAUAAGCCCCAUUGAAGUAAAUCCCUUCCCCAUUGCUAUGAAAGUGAGUGGGACUAUCUGCAUGAGUAAAAUGAGUAGAAUUUGAAUCUAUAUCAAGAUUUCAGUGACUGUCACUCUCAUUCUAAUAAAAAAAUAUGAAAAAUUAAGCAACGAUCAAUUGCAAGUAUAAUCCUCUGAGAAAUUAUGGCAAUUCCCCUUGUAAACAGGAAUGAAACUGAAGAUAAGUGAGUUGAAGGAAGGGAACGCCAUUCCCUUUGUUAAAAUAAAAUGUGGCUAUAUAAUGAAAUUAGGAAGAGAUUAGAAAAGAAAUCAAGUUCCAUUUGCUACAGGUUAACACUUUUCUUAUUGAAAUAGAAUUAUUAUGCUUUUAAUCAUCAAGAAAACAAAGCAGAGACAUAAACCUUAUGUUCAUUAAAAAUGCUUUUCUCUGCUUGGCUAUUUUGGCUAGCUGUUAUUUGUUGCAUCUUAUUCAUUCAGGAAAGCACUUAAACUAGUGCUUAAAUUCCUCUGUUCAACUUUAGCACUUGCUUAAGUGCUCUCCUGAAUGAGAUUAAAAAUCCAUCAGUUGGUACCAAUUAUCUCAUAGGCCUUGUGAGUUCAGGAAAUUCACACCAGUGUAACUUUAUAUCACCAGUGCAAAGUCCUAAAGCAUAUACACUGCAUCAAUACAAAUAUACCAUGUGCUAAAAUAUAUACACUGCAUCAAUACAAAUGUACCAUGUAGUGACUGCAUUGGGGUUAUAUGGAGCGUGAUUUGUAUCAGUUUUGAAAAAAAAAAAAACACCUCACUCAAUAGGAUUCUAUUUAACUGGGAGUUACAAAAAUAGUUUUAAGUGCAUAUUUUUAAAUUUAAAUCUCCAGUCAGUUUUAGGGAAGGAGUUUCUUUAACUUGAUCCACUAUCAAUUAAUGCACAGUGCAUGCUUGGAAUAUUUUGACAUGUUUCUGCUUUUUUUUUUGGUUGUUUUUCUUUUCAACAAGCAAUUAACAAAAAUUUCCAUGGUUAGCAUUGCCUGUAGCAGGGAAAUGUCAUUUAAUAUGCUUAUGUACCAAAUAAAUACAUUAAGUAAUUAAUUCAG